AGACACCGCUCAAGCUCAUCUCAGCCUUAUCCCCAAGUUGCCUCCUCUCUGCUGAUUCCAUGGAGCAUCAGCCGAUCUCCUCUCCUGCGACUCGCCUCCCUCACGGCGCCCUCCAUGCUCCUCUCUCUCUCAUCUCUGCAACUUGGACGGCCAGCAUGGAGCUUGCCCCAGCCCUCUCCCUCUUGGUUCUCUGCUGGUCGCGCUCCUCUCCAUGGGCGCCCAGGUCUCUUCCCCAUGGUGGCCGACCCUAUGCCCAGCUCGCCCCCAUGUCCGAAUUCCGAAGGCAGCCGUCUCUACUCCCCUUGCCAUGGCGACCUCGCCUUCACUGCAUCUAUUUCUUCUCCAAGCCGACGUCGUCUCCCUCUAUCUUUCUCUCUGCUGCAGCGCCUAGCGCCCUCAUUUUCCCAGCCAUGGACAACAAUGUCCCUCUACUCCUUCCCCAUGGCUAUGCACCUCUCUGUAGCAGCACGUUCGCAACGCCGUCGACCCUCGGUAUGGCACUUAGGGUAAUUGGGAUGAAGUGGAAUGUUUCAGCACAUCAUCCACCAGGUGUUCGGUGAAAGGUCCAAGCCAAAAGUCGUUGUCAUUUUAGAAUAUAUCGAGUCGAUUCGAAUUUGGUACAUUAAUUGAUCACCAAUUACGAAGGACACGGGAUGGAUUAAUCUCAAGUGAAGUUGAUGAAUGAACCUGAAGCUGGAUAAUCUGAUCGAGUGCUAGAUUGGGAGAUACUCGCCAAAUGAGUGUCAUCUAGCAACACUGUCAGUACCCUAGAACAGGGGUACCCGUUACUACAGUAUGAAGGCACGGCGUCCACACGGCUAUCUUUAGUCGCGCAGUGAACAACACCCAACCCCUCCACGUGGGUGGCUCCGGGGCCGCCACGUGGCCAGAGGAGACGAUAUACUCCAAGGUGGCGACAGUGGGUCCGGACCCCCACGGGAAAGUGCUAGACCCCUGGAUGCACAGCCCGGACUUCCUAGCGGGGUUCAAGACCUCGAAAGGUACAAACCAGACCACCGGGACGGGUCCCAGACCCCUCAGGAGGGGACCGGGCUACUCACAGUAGGGCCCCAGGAUUCUAAGGAAAAGAAUACCCAGGCCUCAAUCAAGGCCAGGCGUGUAACACCUCAGGUGUUACCAUGGCCAGAGCACAUCUAUGCACUGAUGACUGUGAUCACAUGUGGUAGAAACUUGAGAAGAACAUAAGAACCUUGGAGACCAUGUGUUAAUCAAGAUUGUUAAUGACCUAAGAGCAUCACUCAAGCUUUUGUGCACUUACUACCUUGGGCAAGAGGAGAGUAAACCCUAGACCUCUCUUGAACCCUAUCUCCCAAAACCAUGGUUGAGAGGGGGAGAGAAUAAGCAAAUGUGCAAAUCAUGAGUUAAUCUUUAACCAAACUUUAAGUAACUUUAUAACCAGCAAAUAUGGGAAGGAAAUGUUGCAAAAAGACCCCUUGAGAAACCCCAAAUCCCUUCCUUAAGUAGAGAAAGAGCUAGAGCUCUCAAAUUCCCUCUAAGUCAAAAACUACACCUAAUCUAAAGAUCAACCGUGUUCACCUUGAAGAUGGCAUCAAAACCACCUAAGUUCUAUACCAAAAAUGUGGCAUAUCACCUAGGGCACCCACUGGAAAAAGUUGAGCCCGAGACCUUGACGUUUGACAUGCCUUGGCAUUGUUUUUGUCGCGAGGUGGGCAGAGAGACAUACCUGAUUUGGCGUCCAAUGAUCUCCCUACCUAGGGCAUAUCUGACAUGGCGACUCACGGAUGAGAGACAACCCUAGGUGCCAGGAAAAGACUCGCGCCGGAUUUUUGCCAAGAUUCGCACGUUUGUGACUUGGGCGAGCUGUGGAACAUGGGCAGAAGAAAACCUACACGUGUUCGACGCGCUCUGUGCACGCCAGAGCACGCCCGUGCGCGCCCCGCGUCGCGCCAAAGGCCAGCCGACGCCAUGGCCCGCGCCCACGCCUAUAAAGCCCACUCAGGCGUCGACCAUACCCUUCCACGCACGCUCAACCUCACCGGAGCUCAAACUCACCGUCGGUUGCCCGUGCACGGCGUGUCCGCGGCCACCCGAGCCCCUGCCGCCGUAGACCGGCCAACCAAGCCUUUCCCGACCCCGUCCAGCCCUCGGAGAAGACUGAGCACACCUCUGUGAAGCUCCCCGAGCGAGGAAUCGAAGUCUGCUUCGCCGAAGAGGCCAGUCCACGGUCGCCGGAGUUCACAACCCCGCCGGAGUGCGUGGACCGGGUAAUCCACUGAACCAUUUUUCGAUUCCUUGUGCACACAGUCUCUACAUCAUCUCGUGAAGCUCACCGUGCCAAUGGAUUGAACUAGAUCGCCGUGAUUUGGCCGGCACACCCACCGCCGACGAGGACACCCGCCUGCGCACGUGGACCGUGCGAUUCCAGCCAUCCCCGCCGUCGAGCCGUACAUCGCUGUGACCGCCAGAGCCUCCCCGAGCCAGCCCUGCCCCUCGCCAGACCUUUCUCGCCGCCGGUAAGCCGCGCCGCCCUUUUUUUCCCGCGGGUACUGUUUACAUUAGGGGAAGGACCUCGGGGAAGAAGAAGGAAAGGUCAGGGGUUUUUUGAACUGUCGGUGACUCAAAUGAAUAGUAACGCGGGGGUAUAACUGAGAGAGUUAGUUUGGAAAUAACCCAGGGUCCUCGAUGCAAAGUAGUUUUCCAGGAAACCCUUAUUUAAAUCUGAUUUAAAUUUUGACAGAACUUGAAUAAUCCAUAACUUCUGUUUUAUUCAUCCAAAUUUAGUCAAACCAAUUUUGUCAGACUUUAAAUAAUGUAAACUACUUAGGAAAAAUAUAAAACCCUUAUGUACUACAGAAAACUUUAGGGUUCUGAUUUAAUUAUUGUUUUGGCCAAAAGCUAAAUAAUAAGAAGAAAAACAGUUGCACUAUUUGACUAGGUUUAGGAAAAUUUGGAGAAGUUUAUAUCCACCUACUGACCUGUUUAAAAAUGCUAAACCUCUCUGUCUACCCCAUUAAGUUGGUUUUUGUCAUUUAUUUUACAAUAUGCUUAAGGUUAAGAAAAAUAGAAAAGGUGAAUUAAAUAAUGAACCAGAGGGCACCCCUAUUUUUGUUAGAGUACUUAUUCAAUGUAGUUUACUAGAAAAAUCUAUUAUACCCUGGUUUAGUAUAAAAUAAGUAGGAUCCCUUUUAUUUUAAGAAAACAAGGAAAACUUAGAAAAACCCUACAAAAAUAACCCCAAGGUGAAAACACCCCAACCCUUGGGAUAAUUAAUGUUUUGUUAUUAAGAACUUAGGAAAAAUAUGAAAUCUGUUGUUUGACAUUUUUCAAAUAACAAUGUAAUAGAAAGUGCCUUUUUGGCAUUAAACUUUAGAAAAUCAUAACUAAAUAACCAUCCCUUAGCUUUCUGUGAUCUUUGGCACAGAAGCUUAUUAUUACUGUUAAAUGCCAACAAAAAUAACCCUUAGGACAGAACCCACCCCUAAUUAAGAGAUGUAGUGCAAAGUGGCCCAUUUUACACAACUUUUGUUAUUUUUGUCUAAAGCAUAGCCUUUUUAUUUUAAACUUCAAAUUCCUAGAACAGGCUAUAAUGACCCAUGGCAACCCACUGUAAUUUUUACAGAAGUUUUGGAAAAAAAGUUAAACCACUAUUGUAGUUCAAACCUACACUAGAAACCAUAAAUAGAAAAUAAAGAAAGGGAAAAAUGAAUAAUAGGAAUUAGUGUCAUCCUAAAACCCUUUAUAACUUGUCCACUGAAAUAUAUAAAGGCAAUACCAAUUCACUAUGCCUAGCCCUAACAAAACCUAAACCUAGAGUGAUAAGCAUAAACCACUAAAAGCCACGUAUGACCCAGAAACCCUAAGUUACUCAUUAACUUAGUUUUUCUUCUCUUAGCAUAAUGUUAUUAAAUCCUGCAUAAUCAUGACAUACAUGUUCAUUGCAUUUAGAUAGACUGUAACCUUGCUGACGGAGAGUACAUCCUUGUGCCGGAGCAAGGAGCUGCUCAGGAGGUAGCCCCGGAUCCAGCACCCGAGCCUGCACCAGAGGAUCUGCCUGCCACAGCCUUGGAAGGCAAGCCCCGGUUUAUGCAUAACCUGUUAAUUAUGCUAUUUUAAUAUACUUAAUGAUUGUAGGAUUGAUUGUGCACUUAAGUGUAGGAGUUGUUUGAAACCCUAGUUGCAUGAUCUCAGGAAUCCCAUUCAGAUGAAUACUAGUAUGCUAAGUCGAGUAGCUGCUUUAUUAAUUAGGAUCUCGGUAGAAGUCGAGUGAUUUUUCUAGCACUCGCGCGAGGACAGGAAUUGGCUGUAUCCACUUUCUUAUCAUAUUGAUGUUGGUUUGUGGGCAACAAUCCAUGGGGAUUGGUUGUCUACAGGAUAAAAAUUGGAAUAAGGAUUAAGGUGUGGUACCGUGAGUCAAGCGUUUGAACGUACUAAGCACAUGCCGAGAAAUAUGGUAAAUCGGUAAGCCUAGUACCUGAUUGAACCUGGCAGUAGACUUUACCCCUCACGCGACCUAAGAUGUGGUCUCCCAUUCCGGUUAUGGUGGGUACAAGUGCGGUCACUGCACGACGGCAGUCGGGGUCAGUGAGGCAUUGUACACCAAGGCGGUGAGCCCUGAUCUGCUGACGGGGAAUCGAUGGGGACGGUUGAUGUGUGAGGGGACGGAGUGCCCCUACAUGUCGUGUGUUUAGGUUUAACUUGCAAGGAUGAAAACUCGAUUCGAAUCGUCUGCUUCUCGCAGCUAAUGAGACUGCUUGAUCCAUGCUGCUACAUUGAGUAACAAGUGGAAAUGUGAUGAGUUGACAAAAGAGGUUGAUUGCUAAAAUGUUUGAUACCAUGUAUGAGUAGAUAGUACACUUUUAGCCUUAAGAGAGUCACACUUAAAUUUGACAAAGUUAAAACUUGACUUAGAAACUCAGCUAGUGCUUUUGGCAACCAAACCCCACAGCCAAACAGCUGCAUGUCUAGAGGUAGAGGAGUAGACUCCUCACACCGGGUAAGUAUAGCUGAGUAUUAGUAUACUCAGCCUUGCUUGUGGCAUAAUUUUACAGGUUCUCUGGAGGACAUGGUUGCUGGAGUGACUUGGCCGUCCAUCUUGCCACCGGGUUGGACUGUCGAGUGGGACCCUACCUCGGCUGAGGAGGAGCAUGAGGAGUGAUGGGACAGGCUUCCCCAUCUCUCUAUUUAUUUACCGUUAGUUUUAUUCCGCUGCACUUCGAACAAUGAUGACUACUUUUGCAAAACUCCGAUGAUGUAAUAAUUUAAUACUCCUUAAUGCUUGGUUUUAUGCUUUAUUGUAUUUGCUCUGUGACUCACCAUCGAGUGAGAUUGUGGUACUUGAUCCUGUCAGUGGCCUUGUCGGACUAGAUCUGAGGGAUUGACGGGUUAUUCCCAUUUAAGUGUGGUCUAGCCUCUAAGGCGGGACUUAGGCACUUAAGUUGGAAUAAUUCGGGCAGUUCCGCCAGAGCUGGUAUCGGAGCUUGUACCACCACAGAGGAAUCAAUAAAAUAUAAAUAUCAUCCUUUUCCGAAGUAAAACUUGAUAGAAACAAAUGUUGGAUAGAUCGUAGGACGAUCAGGAUAGAUUUAGGAC